AGUGAACGCUGGCGGUAGGCCUAACACAUGCAAGUCGAACGGCAGCACAGUAAGAGCUUGCUCUUACGGGUGGCGAGUGGCGGACGGGUGAGGAAUACAUCGGAAUCUACUUUUUCGUGGGGGAUAACGUAGGGAAACUUACGCUAAUACCGCAUACGACCUACGGGUGAAAGCAGGGGAUCUUCGGACCUUGCGCGAUUGAAUGAGCCGAUGUCGGAUUAGCUAGUUGGCGGGGUAAAGGCCCACCAAGGCGACGGUCCGUAGCUGGUCUGAGAGGAUGAUCAGCCACACUGGAACUGAGACACGGUCCAGACACCUACGGGAGGCAGCAGUGGGGAAUAUUGGACAAUGGGCGCAAGCCUGAUCCAGCCAUACCGCGUGGGUGAAGAAGGCCUUCGGGUUGUAAAGCCCUUUUGUUGGGAAAGAAAAGCAGCAGGUUAAUACCCCGCUGUUCUGACGGUACCCAAAGAAUAAGCACCGGCUAACUUCGUG
rnacentral:rRNA from 1 species